CUUGCAAGGGGGCAGCUACCAUGCAGUCGAGCGGUAACAGAUCCAGCUUGCUGGAUGCUGACGAGCGGCGGACGGGUGAGUAAUGCAUAGGAAUCUGCCCGAUAGUGGGGGAUAACCUGGGGAAACCCAGGCUAAUACCGCAUACGUCCUACGGGAGAAAGGGGGCUUCGGCUCCCGCUAUCGGAUGAGCCUAUGUCGGAUUAGCUAGUUGGUGAGGUAACGGCUCACCAAGGCGACGAUCCGUAGCUGGUCUGAGAGGAUGAUCAGCCACAUCGGGACUGAGACACGGCCCGAACUCCUACGGGAGGCAGCAGUGGGGAAUAUUGGACAAUGGGGGGAACCCUGAUCCAGCCAUGCCGCGUGUGUGAAGAAGGCCCUCGGGUUGUAAAGCACUUUCAGCGAGGAAGAACGCCUAGCGGUUAAUACCCGCUAGGAAAGACAUCACUCGCAGAAGAAGCACCGGCUAACUCCGUGCCAGCAGCCGCGGUAAUACGGAGGGUGCAAGCGUUAAUCGGAAUUACUGGGCGUAAAGCGCGCGUAGGUGGCUUGAUAAGCCGGUUGUGAAAGCCCCGGGCUCAACCUGGGAACGGCAUCCGGAACUGUCAAGCUAGAGUGCAGGAGAGGAAGGUAGAAUUCCCGGUGUAGCGGUGAAAUGCGUAGAGAUCGGGAGGAAUACCAGUGGCGAAGGCGGCCUUCUGGACUGACACUGACACUGAGGUGCGAAAGCGUGGGUAGCAAACAGGAUUAGAUACCCUGGUAGUCA
rnacentral:rRNA from 1 species